rnacentral:lncRNA from 1 species
GCUUUGAGAAGAUACAAUUGACCAAAUACCCAAUGGGACAUUUGAUUUCUGAAUGAAAUUUCUAGAAAACUAAUCAUUUCUUUCCUCUCUAAUGAAGAAGUCUAAUCUGUACUAGACUAGUGUACACAGUUUGUAGCAGCCCUCUUGCCUCCACAUUCUAAAUAUUGAGAUUACAGUCAUGAGUCACCAUGCUUAACCAGGGUCUUACACAGACUAGUGCUCUGCCACUGACUGAAUUCUGGGAUCCUGAUAGUAGUCUUUUAUAAUUCAGUGCUUUAAAAUUCUUUAUCUUUAUACUUCAAAGUGGACACAGCAAUCAUCAGCCAGUUUCCCACAUUUGUUCAGUUAGUCUAAUCUCAGCCAGCCACCUUCAGGUUUCAGAAUCAUGCAAAUAACCAGGCCUGGACAUGUGUGCCUGUCUACUCAGAAAGCUAAUGGAGGGCGAUCAUUUUCGCCAAGGAGUUCAAGACUGGGCUGGAAAAAAUAGCAAGUUUCUGCCUCAAAACCACAAAAAUAAAAGAUUCAAAAGUAUGAGUGUCUUAAGAAAUUUCAGGGCUGGAGAGAUAGCUCAGCGGUUAAGAGCACUGACUGCUCUUCCUGAGGUCCUGAGUUCAAUUCCCAGCAACCACAUGGUGGCUCACAACCAUCUGUAAUGAGAUCUGGUGCCCUCUUCUGGCCUGCAGGCGUACAUGCAGGCAGAACACUACACGUAAUGAAUAAAUUAAUCUUAAAAUAAAUUUCAGCCAUCUCACCUAAAAAUUGUCUCCAUGUCUCUAUUCCUUCUACUGGCAUAUAUGACAAAUUUCAAGAUGUGAAAUACUGAAUGUAUAAGGUCAGUUUUAUAAUUCAUGUUUAAAUUUCUAAGCAAUUAAUUAAUUGUUUGUAAUAUGUAUAAAUUAUAAGCAUGCACCAUCUAAAAGGGUAUAAAUUAUGGAAUGUAAUAGAAAUUAUUGGGGUGGUAUGAAAGUAUAUCCCUGUAUUUUCACUUGUUAAUUGCUAUUCCCUGUUACUUGCUGGCAGGAUUUGGAUAUUGUCAUUUUUAUGGCCCAUCACCAGUUUUCUAUAUGUUAAUUGUUUGUCCUUCCCACCACCCCAGAAAGAUUUUCUGAGACUAUCAUAUUAAAAGGCAAGCUGCCAUGGUGAAGGUCAAGCAGUCCUCAGUGCCAAAGGGCAACCCUAAGAGAUUGAUUGGGCGCUGUCCUGCUACUGAUUGGUUCAAGCUGGAAUGUGGCUUUUUGAUUGAUAAAGAGCUGACCGCUGGAGCUGGGGCAGGAAGUAUGGAGCAUAACUUCAGAGAUGCAGGAGACUUGGGCAGAUCCAAGGGGACUUGGAAGGAGGCAGAAGGGAAGAAGGCGGCAGAAGAGAGCUGGAAGGAGCUGGAAGCAUGAAGUGAGAACCACAUGGAGAGAUGCUGUGGUGGUUUGCCCAUGGGAAGUGGCACUAUUAGGAGGUAUGGCUUGUUAGAGGAAGUGAGUCACUGUGGAGAUGGGCUUUGAGGUCCUAUGCUCAAGCUCUGACCUGUGAGGAGAGUCCCUCCUCCUGGCUGCCUUGGGAGAGAGUCCCCUCUUGUCUGCCUUCAAAAAAGAUUUAGAACUCUCAGCUCCUUCUCCAGUACCAUGUCUGGAUGCUGCCAUGUUCCCCACCUUGAUGAUAAUGGACUGAAACUGUAAGCCAGCAAACAUUAAACGUCCUUUAU